UUUCUCAGGAAAAUUACAGAGGAAACUAGAGACUUGCAUGAUGUGUUGUCAUGGCAACGGCUGCCCAUGUCGAUUCCCAGCAACAGGAUCUGUUAUUGAAGCGAGCACAAAUGUUAGUCUGCUGCCACCCGCCAGGGGUCAGUUUGCGAAUGAUGUCUCUCUUGAGGGCUAAUCAAUACGGCCAUUAGCUUCCCAGACAGAGACCACAGCAAUGGCAAGCCAUGUGAAGCUGACACAUUAUCUUUAUUUCCCAUUCUAGUUGAAGCUCUGAUGGCAGCACACCAGUCUUCUUUGUUCAAUGACAUUUUAUCUGUGAGCCGUAAAGACUUUACUUCCCACAGCUGACCCAAAAUGUUCGAUUGGGACAAAACCCAAUGGAUUGCUACUUUCAAGAGAAAUCAAGGUUCUAAGUUUACAGAGAACAGCCAUUGUUGGUGUGGUCAGCAGCAAACAGGGUGAUGGGAAAGGAUAGUGAAACCAGGAGGAUUAAAAG
rnacentral:lncRNA from 1 species